AUAUUUAAAGUCGGAUAUUACAACAAUAAUGCAUAUAACGUCUGCAUUUGUUUUAUUUUUAUGUGAAAGGAAACAAACUCUAGGAUGAUGUUUUGGCUCGGGCCUCUGUCAAAUAACAAGAUAAGGUGUGAACUUCUAAAGUAUUAGGACAGAUCUUACUUAUCUUUUAAAAAAAAGUAUACGUCGAGUUGAUGAAUACAUUUUGUUACUUAUGACUAUUUGAUAAACCGACAAAAAUGGAAAGGUUAAAAUUUCACACUGUAGAUUAUGUGGUAAUGGUGAUAUUUCUUGCUAUAUCCUCUGCGAUUGGAAUUUACUAUGGUUUUUACAAGAAACAGAGGACAACAGAGGAAUAUAUUCUUGGUAAUCGGCAGAGUCAUCUUGUUCCAGUUGCUCUGUCGUUAGCAGUCACUUUUCAAUCAGCAACAUCAAUUAUAGGAUUACCAAGUGAAAUCUAUCUGUAUAACAUUAUGGUGUUUUAUAUAACAUUUGGAAUUUCUAUUGCAAACCUUAUACAGGCCCUUGUCAUCGUGCCUUUGGUACAUCCACUAAGAUUGACGAGUGCAUAUGAGUAUCUUCAGCGUCGUUUCCAGUCUAGAGCCGUGCAGCUUCUUGGAAUGUCUAUGGCAUGUUGCAGACGCUACUAUAUGUCAGCAUUGUCUUGUAUUCUCCAGCUCUGGCACUUGAAGCAGGGAGGAAUGAGAACAGUGAUAUGGACAGAUAUAUUCCAGUUUGUUAUGCUUUAUGGUGGACUUACUGUGAUCCUUAUACUGGGUGUAAAAGAAAUAGGAAGUUUGCGAACAGUUUUUGCUUUGUCAUUGGAAGGUGAUCGGAUGAAAUUUGAUGAGUAUAUAUCUAUGCAGUUUUGCAAUAUAAUUGGUCAGCAUUGUAUUACAUUGCUCUGAAAACUUGACGACAUAUGCAAAUUUCGUGUUUAAACUCUUCUAGUUAAAACAUUUUAAUAUGUUAUCUUCCGUUGCCGUUAAAGAGGCGACAUAUUUUAUUUCUUUCUCUACAUUAGGUAUUGCAGAGACUUAUUUGUGAAAGUCCUGUACCUAAAAUAUGUUGUCAUCUUUGCCGACUGGUUAACACCAAGUUCGAACCAAAUGCUUCCCGGCGCUGUUAGUUGGAUAACGAAAUAAACCAAUGAAAUCAUACUUUUGAAAUAUAGAAUGCAAUAAGGAAAAGAAUAGCAGACGUAAAGUCUUUUCAGAAGAAGAUUUGAUAGCUAAAACAGCCCCCCAUGCCCCUAACAUAGGUUUAAGGAGAUAGGUUACCUUAAUAUGUGUAUGUGCGCAUGUCCAACUGGAAGCUAACGUGACGAUUUACGACGACGUUUACGACAAACUAAAUGUGUUUGCAUGUCCAUUCUUCUGAGAAAAAAACAUGAACCUGCCUCCGAUCUGAUGCUUAAUAUUUCAAUAAUGUAGAAAUAAUGAAUAAAUUGCCACAUAAACGCUUCAAAACAUUGUUGUCUUAAAAUGACGUCAUUAGCGUCAUGAUGUUACGUGUCAGUUACCGCGUAAAAUUAAUAGGUUAUAUUUUGAAAGUACGUAAUUCUGUGCAUUUUCUUUAUUUGAACUAUUUUAAACAGCCAUUAUUUGCUGAAAUACUUUUUAUGAGUCUUAUAGAAUACCUAGGGGUAGGGUAUAACAUGUACAGAGUCAUUUUCUUUCUGAUCUGGCGCCAGUGAGUCUUUCGCUCUGAAUAAUGAUCAAUAUUUUGCUUCUUUUAUGAAGAGAGAUAAACGGAAUUGAGAUUUUAGCAGUUAAAACAUUAAAUUACACAAAAUACAAAGAAAUUUAAAAAUUGCUGCGGUUCAACUAAUCUGAAUUUACCCUGGUAACAAGGUAACCUACCUCCUUAAACCGAUAAUAUUAUAAAAGACCUUUAAUAGAGUGCAUAACCCCAAAGGAUCAGACAUGAUUUAAACGUUGUAAGACUUUUCUGUGUUUGUUAUUGUUAUGCAGAUGUCCUUUUUUUAAAAUCAGGAAAACAUACUGAUAUAUAACCUAUGGAAGUAAAUGUGAUAGUUUGUUAGAAUAAACCCAGAUCCUCGUGUACGUCACACAGUGUGGGGGUGUGUAAUUGGUGGGGUCUUUAAUUGGCUUCCAAACUGUUGCAACCAGUCAGCCAUACAGAGGAUAUCUUCCAUAGAAAAAGCUAAAGAUGCUAAAAUUGCUACUCUUCUGAAUAUACCACUGGGGAUAAUCUUCGAUUUGAUUCUUAUUCUGACUGGUCUGGCCGCAUACAUCGUUAUAAAAGCUUGUAAUCCGCUGGGUAACAACCAGUUGUCAAAUCCGAACCAGUUGAAGAUAUACUUUGUCAUGAAAGUGUUAAACAGUGUACCAGGACUGGCUGGAAUAUUUCUUGCAGCAGUUUUCAGUGGAGCAUUAAGGUGAACACUUAAAAUUAACAUACUUUUGUUUCGAAUAAAUUUGUAUACUAACACUUAUCAUAAUACCCUGGUCGCAUAUUAUACACGGGCACCGUCAGAUAAGACAGCUAAUGUGAAAUUUAACAAUGAAUGAUUUUUGUCGAGCCCGCUUGCGGAAGCGAAGGCAUAGUUCUCCAAAUGGCUGUUCAGUGUAUGUAUGCGUGCGUGCGUGCGUCCGUCCGGAUUUGUUUGUCCGGACCAUAACUUCGACAUGCAUGGAGCAGUCUCGUUUAUAUUUGGCAUGAAUGUUAACCUCAGUGAGACGGAGUGUCAUGCGCAAACCGCAGGUUCCUAUCUUAAAGGUCAUACUGAAUGUAUUAAAUAAUGAAAUGCGAGAUUUAUGAUUUUUUGUAACGAGUGUAAAAAAAUCAAUAUUUGAAUACACACUU